ensembl:Mt_tRNA
UGCUGGGAUGGCAGAGCUCGGUAAUUGCAAAAGGCCUAAGCCCUUUCACCCAAAGGUUCAAAUCCUUUUCCCAGUUU